CGAGCGGACAGAUGGAGCUUGCUCCUGAUGUUAGCGGCGGGCGGGUGAGUAACACGUGGGUAACCUGCCUGUAAGACUGGGAUAACUCCGGGAAACCGGGGUAAUACCGGAUUCUUGAUUGAACCGCAUGGUUCAAUUAUAAAAGGUGGCUUUUAGCUACCACUUACAGAUGGACCCGCGGCGCAUUAGCUAGUUGGUGAGGUAACGGCUCACCAAGGCAACGAUGCGUAGCCGACCUGAGAGGGUGAUCGGCCACCUGGGACUGAGACACGGCCCAGACUCCUACGGGAGGCAGCAGUAGGGAAUCUUCCGCAAUGGACGAAAGUCUGACGGAGCAACGCCGCGUGAGUGAUGAAGGUUUUCGGAUCGUAAAACUCUGUUGUUAGGGAAGAACAAGUACCGUUCGAAUAGGGCGGUACCUUGACGGUACCUAACCAGAAAGCCACGGCUAACUACGUGCCAGCAGCCGCGGUAAUACGUAGGUGGCAAGCGUUGUCCGGAAUUAUUGGGCGUAAAGCGCGCGCAGGCGGUUUCUUAAGUCUGAUGUGAAAGCCCCCGGCUCAACCGGGGAGGGUCAUUGGAAACUGGGGAACUUGAGUGCAGAAGAGGAGAGUGGAAUUCCACGUGUAGCGGUGAAAUGCGUAGAGAUGUGGAGGAACACCAGUGGCGAAGGCGACUCUCUGGUCUGUAACUGACGCUGAGGCGCGAAAGCGUGGGGAGCGAACAGGAUUAGAUACCCUGGUAGUCCACGCCGUAAACGAUGAGUGGUAAGUGUUAGAGGGUUUCCGCCCUUUAGUGCUGCAGCAAACGCAUUAAG
rnacentral:rRNA from 1 species